GAUGAAGAACGCAGCGAAAUGCGAUAAGUAAUGUGAAUUGCAGAAUUCAGUGAAUCAUCGAAUCUUUGAACGCACAUUGCGCCCGCCAGUAUUCUGGCGGGCAUGCCUGUUCGAGCGUCAUUUCAACCAUCAAGCCCCCGGCUUGUGUUGGGGACCUGCGGCUGCCGCAGGCCCUGAAAACCAGUGGCGGGCUCGCUAGUCACUCCGAGCGUAGUAAUACAUCUCGCUCAGGGCGUGCUGCGGGUUCCGGCCGUUAAAAGCCUUAUUUUACCCAAGGUUGACCUCGGAUCAGGUAGGAAGACCCGCUGAACUUAAGCAUAUCAAUAAGCGGAGG
rnacentral:misc_RNA from 1 species